rnacentral:lncRNA from 1 species
CUGGUGGGGGGCCGGCGGCAGUCUGGGAGCGGCGCGCCAUGUACACCAUCAUCAACGGGCCCAGCAAGUUGGUCGCGCAGCGCCGCACAGGUCUCACGCAGCAGCAGGUGAAGGGCCAGCUCCAGGAGCUCCUGAAAAGCCGGCAGCCCGCGCCGCCGACCUUGCAGCCCCAGCGGGCGCAGCCCUUCGCGCAGCCGCUGGGACCCUGGCCCCUGUCGAGUGCAGGGCCAAGGCUUGUGUUCAAUCGUGUGAAUCGCCGGCGGGACCCCUCCAAGUCCCCAUCCCUCCAGGGGACCCAGGAGACCUACACACUGGCCCACAAGGAGAAUGUCCGCUUUGUGUCCGAAGCCUGGCAGCAGGUGCGGCAGCAGCUGGAUGGUGGCCCAGCCGGUGAGGGCGGGACAAGGCCUGUGCAGUGGAGAGGAUCCCCAAUCCCCGGCUGCAGAACUUCGUGCCCAUUGACUUGGACGAGUGGUGGGCGCAGCACUUCCUGGCUAGAAUCACCAGCUGU